UAUCAGAAGUGCGAAUGCUGACAUGAGUAACGUUAAAGCGGGUGAAAAGCCCGCUCGCCGUAAGCCCAAGGUUUCCUGCUCUACGUUCAUCGGAGCAGGGUGAGUCGGCCCCUAAGGUGAGGCUGAGAAGCGUAACUGAUGGGAACAAGGUUAAUAUUCCUUGACCACCGCUGAAUGCGAAGGGGGGACGGAGUAUUGAAGAUCAUCCGGGUGUUGGAUAUCCCGGUUUGCGAGCGUAGGAGGCUGACAGGCAAAUCCGUCAGCGAAUCUCCGAGGCAAAGCAUCGAGCUCUCUUUUGAGCGAAGUGAUUGGAUGUGCUUCCAGGAAAAGCCUCUAAGCUCCAGUUCAGCGGGACCGUACCGCAAACCGACACUGGUGGGCGAGCUGAAUAUGCUCAGGCGCUUGAGAGAACUCAGGAGAAGGAACUCGGCAAAUUGACACCGUAACUUCGGGAUAAGGUGUGCCUUUGUAGCGUGGAGGGAGAAACACCCCGAGCGCGAAGAGGUCUCAGAUAAUCGGUGGCUGCGACUGUUUAUUAAAAACACAGCACUCUGCAAAGACGAAAGUCGACGUAUAGGGUGUGAUGCCUGCCCGGUGCUGGAAGAUUAAUUGAUGGGGUGCAAGCUCCUGAUCGAAGUCCCAGUAAACGGCGGCCGUAACUAUAACGGUCCUAAGGUAGCGAAAUUCCUUGUCGGGCAAGUUCCGACCUGCACGAAUGGCAUAACGAUGGCCACACUGUCUCCUCCUGAGACUCAGUGAAGUUGAAGUGUUUGUGAUGAUGCAAUCUCCCCGCGGCUAGACGGAAAGACCCCAUGAACCUUUACUGUAGCUUUGCAUUGGACUUUGAACCGAUCUGUGUAGGAUAGGCGGGAGCCUGUGAAACCACAACGCCAGUUGUGGCGGAGGCGUCCUUGAAAUACCGCCCUGAUUUGUUUGAGGUUCUAACCUGGGACAGUCAUCCUGUCCGGGGACCGUGCAUGGUAGGCAGUUUGACUGGGGCGGUCUCCUCCUAAAGGGUAACGGAGGAGUGCGAAGGUACGCUAGGUACGGUCGGAAAUCGUGCUGAUAGUGCAAUGGCAAAAGCGUGCUUGACUGCGAGACCCACAAGUCGAGCAGAUACGAAAGUAGGUCAUAGUGAUCCGGUGGCUCUGUAUGGAAGGGCCAUCGCUCAACGGAUAAAAGGUACUCUGGGGAUAACAGGCUGAUACCGCCCAAGAGUUCAUAUCGACGGC
rnacentral:rRNA from 1 species